AAAGACAAAUGUCACUCUAAUGAUUAGAAUAAUAUUUUUUUAAUAAUUAUUUUAUUAUUGGAUAGUCACAUAAUAAAAAUUUAAAUUAUUAUAUUAUAACAGUAAAAAAAUACAACAGUUAUAGAAAAAACUAAAACUCGUCCAAAUAAGGGAUACAAAUAUCUUUAACUCUAAAAUUAAUUAUAAUUAAAGAUCAAAAUAUUUUAAGAAACAAAAGUACAAAGAUUAUAACAACUAUUUCCAUAAAUGUUUAUAGAAGACCUCGA
rnacentral:lncRNA from 1 species